rnacentral:rRNA from 1 species
UACGUAGGGUGCAAGCGUUAAUCGGAAUUACUGGGCGUAAAGCGUGCGCAGGCGGUUAUGUAAGACAGGUGUGAAAUCCCCGGGCUUAACCUGGGAACUGCAUUUGUGACUGCAUAGCUAGAGUACGGUAGAGGGGGAUGGAAUUCCGCGUGUAGCAGUGAAAUGCGUAGAUAUGCGGAGGAACACCGAUGGCGAAGGCAAUCCCCUGGACCUGUACUGACGCUCAUGCACGAAAGCGUGGGA